UAGGGAAUCUUCCACAAUGGGCGAAANCCUGAUGGAGCAACGCCGCGUGUGUGAUGAAGGGUUUCGGCUCGUAAAACACUGUUGUAAGAGAAGAAUGACAUUGAGAGUAACUGUUCAAUGUGUGACGGUAUCUUACCAGAAAGGAACGGCUAAAUACGUGCCAG
rnacentral:rRNA from 1 species